rnacentral:rRNA from 1 species
AACGUAGGAGGCAAGCGUUAUCCGGAGUUACUGGGCGUAAAGAGCGUGUAGGCGGCAGUUUAAGUGGCUUGUGAAAGCGCCCGGCUAAACUGGGCGAGGACAGGUCAGACUGCACCGCUAGAGGACGAUAGAGGGGUGCGGAAUUCCGUGUGUAGCGGUGAAACGUGUAGAGAUCCGGAGGAACACCAGUGGUGCAGACGGCGCCCUGGGUCGUACCCGACGCUGAGACGCGAAAGCAUGGGGAGCCAACGGG